AGAACGCGUGGAGCAUGUGGCUUAAUUUGACCCAACGCGGGAAAUCUUACCGGGUCCGGACACACUGAGGAUUGACAGGCAAAAGAUACAAGUUUUAUAACUUGCAUUGUAAAAUAUGCGAGUCCUUUCAUGAUUAUGUGAUAGGUGGUGCAUGGCCGUUCUUAGUUCGUGGAGUGAUCUGUCUGCUUAAUUGCGUUUCAUAACGAUUUAAAACACUAUGUUUUACGUUUGCUGUUCAUCUUACUACGGUUUGAUUCGAACGCACGUUACAUGGUUAAAAACAAUCGGAAAGCAACGAACGUGACCGA
rnacentral:rRNA from 1 species